rnacentral:rRNA from 1 species
GUCCACGCCCUAAACGAUGUCAACUAGUUGUCGGGGAGCAAUUCCUUGGUAACGCAGCUAACGCGUGAAGUUGACCGCCUGGGGAGUACGGUCGCAAGAUUAAAACUCAAAGGAAUUGACGGGGACCCGCACAAGCGGUGGAUGAUGUGGAUUAAUUCGAUGCAACGCGAAAACCUUACCUACCCUUGACAUGCCCAGAACCCUGAUGAAAGUCGGGGGUGCCCGAAAGGGAAUUGGAGCACAGGUGCUGCAUGGCUGUCGU